rnacentral:piRNA from 1 species
UGAUAGCCCCGGAUGUAAUUCCUGGU